rnacentral:tRNA from 2 species
GACCGGUUGGCGCAAUGGUAGCGUAUAGACCUCCUACUUUCUCAUCAUUUGUUUGGUGUGUAGAGGUCAGUCUAGGGUUGCGGGUUCGAGUCCCGUGCUGGUCG